CCCUUUAUUCUGAAAAUAAAGGAUAAGCAUUUGAGCUAAAUAAAAAAACCAGUGUCACCAGAAAGUAAAACACUCUAAGAAUAAUAAUAAUAAUAAUUUAUAAAAUAACUUAAAAUAACUUAGAUCUACUGUGCCCGAUGAGUAACAAUUUCGUUUAUGGAAUAGAAACAAUGCUCUUCAAAAAACUUUUUUGAUAAUUGUUUCAAUUUUUUAGUGGAAAGUCGUUUAACAUCAAUAUUUUUGGACCGAAAAAGAGUGUUUGCAAAAAUAUUAUACAAAUCUAGAUUAAGUUUAUUGUUUUAUGUAGUACACAACCUUGAUCUUAAUUUAUGAUAUUGUCAGCUGUUCGCGUCAUAUAGCUGUAAUAUCCAGCAUGAGUCGGAAAAACAGACCAAUUUGAGUGGAUUUCAACUAAAGUUUGGAAAAUAAAAAUACAUGGUAACGUAAGUAUCUUCAAUUCUGGCAGUGUCUGGACGGCGGAACACCCCCAAGAACCCGAACCGCAGACUUCUGCAAUCUAAAGGCUCUCUCGGCCGCCAUCGCGUUCCCCCACAAUAGUAGUCCAUAUGAUAAGACACUAUGAAACAGUGCAAAAUAAACUAUACGGAGAGUGCUUUGCGAGAUGGAUCCUCGCAGUUGUCUCAGAACAAAACUCUGAGAAGACAAUUUACAGCACAGGUAGUCUAUAUGAGUCGACCAGGUUAAAAACGCAUCUAGGUAGACACCAACAAGUUUGACCGGUUCAGAUUUUUUACUUCUUCUAUUGAGAACCACUCAUCAUCAAUCAUGGAGAGUGGACAGCUUUUUAUUUAAAUUUAAAUUAAAUCAAUGAUGUGUCAUCCGCAAAGAGUAUACUGCGAGCAGCAUUAGUUGCAAAUACUACAUCAUUUAUGUAUAUUAUAAACAAAAGUGUACCAAGGAUGGAACCCUAAAGCACUCCAUUAGUAAUGUCCAACAGAGUGGAUUCCCGAUCAUUCCAGACAACAUAUUGCUUUCUUCCGGUCAAAUAAAUAAAAGGACUAGGGUAUUUUCACGAAUUCCGUAGUACUCAAGUUUGGAAAGAAGUAUAUUAGUAUCCACGCAGUCGAAUGCCUUGCUGAGGUCGCACAUCGUUACCGAAGUCAUCAGGCCCUCCUCAAACCCAUCAACCACAUACUCAAUCAUUGUGUAUAAGGCACGGAUGGUGGACCUACCUGACCGAAAACCAAAUUGGGAAUCUGUUAAUAAUUUCCUUUCUUCAAACGUUUAGCGGAGUCCCUCAGAACAGUGGGGACGUCGCAUGACCCAUUGCAAGUUUUCGCGACGUUGUCAAAUGGUUACUUAUCGACUUUAGGAAGGGAUUAAAGAAUUGCUUCCGUCGACGUUACACUUAUUUAUUAAAGAGAAGCCAAAUCAAAUAACAAUUAAACGUCGCUCAAUGAUUUAAGUGGUAACAUGAAAAAAUGUGAAUACUGGCAACGUUGCAGUUAGUGACAACGGGUUUUGCAGAGUUACGGUAAACGGAAAAGUAGUGAGGAUGACAGAAUGGCUUUCAAUGAAAAAUACUUUAGAAAAAUAUUACAAUUAAACGCGGUUUAUUUUUUAUCGUAGAAGUUACUUAACACCGGGAGGUAAUUUACCGGGUAUUUUAACGGACAAGGGCAAAGAAUUCCAAGAGGAUUGCAAAGUAUUUUCGAAAAUUUUGAUGUAUUUCUGGGAGUUUCGGAGCUAUAAUGAAAAGCUGAAGUUUAUCAUCAAUGUAUAAAAUGUAAGAGAAACAGUUUGAAUGAUUUUUUUAUAGUAAAUAUUAAGUAAUUGUGUGAACGAUGAUAUC